CUCCUACGGGAGGCAGCAGUAGGGAAUCUUCGGCAAUGGGGGCAACCCUGACCGAGCAACGUCGCGUGAGUGAAGAAGGUUUUCGGAUCGUAAAGCUCUGUUGUAAGUCAAGAACGAGUGUGAGAGUGGAAAGUUCACACUGUGACGGUAGCUUACCAGAAAGGGACGGCUAACUACGUGCCAGCAGCCGCGGUAAUACGUAGGUCCCGAGCGUUGUCCGGAUUUAUUGGGCGUAAAGCGAGCGCAGGCGGUUUGAUAAGUCUGAAGUUAAAGGCUGUGGCUCAACCAUAGUUCGCUUUGGAAACUGUCAAACUUGAGUGCAGAAGGGGAGAGUGGAAUUCCAUGUGUAGCGGUGAAAUGCGUAGAUAUAUGGAGGAACACCGGUGGCGAAAGCGGCUCUCUGGUCUGUAACUGACGCUGAGGCUCGAAAGCGUGGGGAGCGAACAGGAUUAGAUACCCUGGUAGUCCACGCCGUAAACGAUGAGUGCUAGGUGUUGGAUCCUUUCCGGGAUUCAGUGCCGCAGCUAACGCAUUAAGCACUCCGCCUGGGGAGUACGACCGCAAGGUUGAAACUCAAAGGAAUUGACGGGGGCCCGCACAAGCGGUGGAGCAUGUGGUUUAAUUCGAAGCAACGCGAAGAACCUUACCAGGUCUUGACAUCCCGAUGCUAUUUCUAGAGAUAGAAAGUUACUUCGGUACAUCGGUGACAGGUGGUGCAUGGUUGUCGUCAGCUCGUGUCGUGAGAUGUUGGGUUAAGUCCCGCAACGAGCGCAACCCCUAUUGUUAGUUGCCAUCAUUCAGUUGGGCACUCUAGCGAGACUGCCGGUAAUAAACCGGAGGAAGGUGGGGAUGACGUCAAAUCAUCAUGCCCCUUAUGACCUGGGCUACACACGUGCUACAAUGGUUGGUACAACGAGUUGCGAGUCGGUGACGGCAAGCUAAUCUCUUAAAGCCAAUCUCAGUUCGGAUUGUAGGCUGCAACUCGCCUACAUGAAGUCGGAAUCGCUAGUAAUCGCGGAUCAGCACGCCGCGGUGAAUACGUUCCCGGGCCUUGUACACACCGC
rnacentral:rRNA from 1 species